rnacentral:rRNA from 1 species
GAUGAACGCUGGCGGCGUGCCUAAUACAUGCAAGUCGAGCGAACAGAUAAGGAGCUUGCUCCUUUGACGUUAGCGGCGGACGGGUGAGUUACACGUGGAUAACCUACCUAUAAGACUGGGAUAACUUCGGGAAACCGGAGCUAAUACCGGAUAACAUAUUGAACCGCAUGGUUCAAUAGUGAAAGGCGGCUUUGCUGUCACUUAUAGAUGGAUCCGCGCCGUAUUAGCUAGUUGGUAAGGUAACGGCUUACCAAGGCAACGAUACGUAGCCGACCUGAGAGGGGGAUGGGCCCAAAGGGAACUGACACACGUCCCAGACUCCGAGGGGAGGCAGCAGGCGGGAACUUGCAGAAAUGGGGGAAACCCUGAAGGAGAACCGCAGGGGGAGUGAAGAAGGUCUUCGGAUCGUAAAACUUUGUUUUCAGGGAAGAACAAAUGUGAAAGUAACGGUGCCAUUCUUGGGGGUACCUGUACAGAAAGCCCCGGCUACCUCCUG